UGGAAGAAAGAACAGAAUCAGAACAUAUUGAUGGUCCAAAUCCUGAUGUCUUUACUUAGAUCAUACUCAGAUAAAACUACUCAAGACUUCUACCUGCAGAAAGACCACAAGAAUUAGCCCUACAAAUGCUUUCCUCAUUUCCAAGAGUACAUUGCACUAUGAUGGGUCCUGAUCCUUUAACUAUUCUCCUGAUCUGAUCCUUAAACAAUCCUCAUGGCUCUUUCUUGAAAUUUCUGCAUAUUUUUCUACUUCCCUAUGGAAGGCUGAAGACCAGACCCAGGAACAAAAGUCCAAGACAACCCACAAUAUUUCUAUUAUGGCAUGUACCACAAGAGCUGCUGUAAAGCUGUUGGAUGUGGGCAGAGAAAUGUUCAAAAGCCAAUGAAUGUGCAAAAGCAUCAGAGUCCUGUGACUAUCUCUAAAUGGCAGAGGAAACUGAAAAAGCCCAUGUUGUAACCUAUACUGGGCUGCACAGUGUUCUUUUUCUGUGGAAGCAAUACUACUUCAGCAUUGUUGGACUAAACUCACAGCAGAAUCCACACACUGACAGAAACGACCAGACUUACAAUGUCAUGUCAGUGAAAGUGGGAAGGCAACUGAAGUGUCCACAGCUUUCUUCUCUCAUCUAAGCAGCUGGUUCAAGUGUAUUUACCUGAAGUAUGGCCGUGUGUGGUACAAGGUAGUUUGGCCUAGGCAGUGUUAGGAUAUGUGGAUUCAGUGCAUUUUCUCAGUAGCCUAUUAUUACUGAACCUCCCAUAGAGCUCAGAUGCUAACACCAGCUGCUCUAGACCCAAAGGAAGAGCAGCCCAGCCCUCAUUUGGAUUCCCCUCCACUCUGUUGGGCUGAAGCACGAAGGUAUGAACAAAAUUCAGUAAAGCUGGACAAAUCCCAUGGGGUCCUAAAAAUGUCUUUAUCUGAGAAGGCCAAGAGCUUUGCCAUCUUCCACUGGCAUUCAGCCACAUGUGGUGAGCCAAGACAGGUGGUCUGCUGGGUUGGAAGACGCACUAAGACAGUCUGGUCUGCUGGACACAUUGGCAUGAGCAAUUCACUGAAUGGUACUCUUCUCCUUGCACAUGAACAAGCCCAGUGCAAUACAAUGGGGCACUGUGCUGCUAAAGAAGUUGUUCUUCAGGUGAGACAUUACACUCAUAAAACUCAGCGGAGGUCCUGACCACUUUGUGGGCAUUAAAGAUCCCAUGACUUCUAGCAAUGAUUUUGGUGUCCUGGCCACGCUCCAAUUUGGAAUGCUUUGUCUUGAACUCUCUAUACAGCUUCUAUUCAGAAAUGUUGUCUUCACAAAGUCUACAUUUUGACGAGCUCAUGUUAAGCUGCCAUUUCAAAGUUGAUGCCAAAACGGACAAAGAAUUUAAAAACAAUUAGUGAUGACUACUGGUAAUUACCUACAUGUGGUUGGUGUAUCAGACUAAGAGAAAUACCUCAGAAUGAAUAAUGUCUUGAAAAUAUAGGGCUUUACUAGGUCUCUGGCUGGGGUUUGAAACACUCAGAACUGUAUGUAUGGCAUCACAUGUUUUUACUGUCAGAACAAGAAGUCCUGUUGUGGUGCUUAAGAUCUUGAAUUCCGGUUGUGCACUAAGUUACCAAUAAUACUUACAUGGUUAUGAGCUCCCUCUGGAAAAGUCCAUCCAACAGAUUUGAAUGUGGUACUUGAAACGGCUUCCUUUGACAAAUGGAGGUUUGAAUCAUGUUCAUCGUAGGAGAUGCCCACCACACUUCACCUUUUGGAAGUGAAGGUCAGACACUAGGAAAACCAGGCCUGCUAUGUCUGCUGGAGACAAUUUAAAUACAACACAUCAAGAUCAUAUUUGCUUUAAGCUUUUCAUUUUCACAGUCUUAUGCAGUGAGAGCGGCUUAUGAAGUCUCCCAUUUAAAGCCUGAUUUGUGAUUUAUAGUGAUUUAUAACAACACUAAAACCUCCCACAAAAGACAAAUUAAUACUCAGAUGCUUUUUCAGCACCUCCUUUGAGAAAAAGAGUUUUGAGCCAGUGCCAAGGAGUGGAGGCAAAUAUUUCUACUGAAACACAAAUGGGUGGCAAAUUCUAGAAUAAUAUUUUGGCAUGACAUAUACACUACAUUUCUUUUCACAUCUUUUCUCUUUCAAG